GACCACGUGGCCCAAUGGAGAAGGCGUCUGACUUCGGAUCAGGAGGUUGAGGGUUCGAUUCUUAUCGUGGUCG
rnacentral:tRNA from 1 species